AUUAAUUUAAACUUAUGCGGUCCCACUGAAGGAAGAAGGAAAGUAGAAAUAUGUAAAUUGAUGAAUCGAUUCCGAAAGAAAAACAUGUCCCACCUGAAAAUGAGAGAGAAGAAGCAUUGAACAAUGCGAAACAUUGAAGUUCGUCGAUUUUGCACUCUGAUAACCGAAGCAACCCACAGAACCCCAACAACGAAGCCAUUCCUUCCCAUACCUCACCGAACCCUUCCCGAACCUCGAGGCCAGGAUCUGGACUUCAUCACCGUCGCUCACAGUCACGUCGUCAACUCCCACUGGGAAAAGCUACAUCCUUUGUGCCCCGUUCUCACACCCUUUCGUCUCAAACACCUCUUCCUCAACCUCCAAAACGACCACGUAUUGUCCCUCAAACUUUCCCAAUGGCUUCUCCAACACCACCCAUCCACGCACACCCUCGAAACCCUCUCGUUCCUCCUCCACACCCUCGCCACACAUCGCCAAUUCAAAACCAUCCAAACCAUCCUCACAAAAAUCCUUUCUUCACACCCUCCCCACACCCUCUUCGACUCUCUCUUACACUCCUACCCUAUCUGCAAUGCUUCCCCUCUCGUCUUCGAUGCCCUCUUCAAAACCCUCGCCCAUGCCAGUAAAUUCCGCAGCGCCACCCUCACUUAUACCCUGAUGAAGCAACACGGCUUCUCCCUCACCGUUGAGUCCUGCAACGCCUUUUUAAGUUCUCUGCUUCGCCUCCGCAGAGCAGAUAUCGCGCUGUCGUUUUACCGGGAGAUGCGUCGCUCUUAUGUUUCGCCUAACGUCUACACUCUCAACAUGGUUAUUCGCGCUCAUUGCAUGUUGGGGGGAGUGCAGAAGGGCUUUGAGAUUUUCCAGAAGAUGGGGGACAUGGGCUUGAGUCCUAAUGUUGUGUCUUUCAAUACUUUGAUUUCGGGGUAUUGUAACAAGGGGCUGUUUGGCUUGGCUUUAAAGGUUAAAUCUUUGAUGGGGGGUCAUGGAGUGCAGGCUAAUGUGGUUACUUUUAACACUCUGAUUAAUGGGUUUUGUAAGGAGAGGAAGUUGCAUGAGGCGAAUAGGGUUUUCAAUGAGAUGAAGGUUGCCAAUGUAACCCCGAAUGUUGUAACUUACAAUACUUUGUUGCAUGGGUAUGGUCAGGUUGGAGACAGUGAAAUGGGUGGGAAAGUUUACGAGGAGAUGGUGAGGAAUGGGGUUAAGGCUGAUAUAUUAACUUAUAAUGCAUUGAUUUUGGGGCUGUGUAAGGAUGGAAAGACAAAGAAGGCUGCAGGGUUUGUAAAGGAGCUUGAUAAAGAGAACUUGGUUCCAAAUGCGAGUACUUUUUCUGCUCUUAUUACUGGACAGUGUGUGAGGAACAAUUCUGAGCGUGCCUUUCUUAUUUAUAGGAGCAUGGUGAGGAGUGGUUGUAAUCCAAAUGAGCAUACUUUUCAGAUGCUGAUAUCUGCUUUUUGCAAGAAUGAGGACUUUGAUGGGGCUGUGCAGGUUUUGAGGGACAUGCUGGGUAGAUUGAUGAGGCCAGAUUCCAGCACGUUAUCUGAGCUGUAUCAUGGACUUCACAGGUGUGGGAAAAACCAGUUGGCAUUGGCUCUGUGUAGCGAGAUAGAAGCGAGGCGACUCUUGCCGGAUGGGUUUGACAAAGAAAAAUUAUUCAUCGUCCCUCCUGAAAAUGAGACAAGUAGCUGAACUCUGGUAUUCUCCAUCAGAGGUAAUUUUGUUCGAGACACUUCAGAUACUAGAUGUGGUGGACAAUAGAUGUCUAUAUUAACGCAGAUACGAAUAUUAGUUUGUUACAUCGUGGAAUUUAAGUCCUUUGUAUUAGAUUGAACCCUUGGUGGUGGUACUUGUCUGGUUGUUUGAAGCUGAACAUUACCCUGUACUUGGUUAACUUGUUUGGUUCUACAUUUCAUACCCAAUAGAAGUAUCAUUGUAAAUAUUCCAUUAAAUUAACCACGGAAGAUACAUAUUUGAGAUCGAGAUGAAUUUGCUUGAAUGGGGAUGCUUGAGUUGUUAUUCAUUACUAAUUCUAUGAUUAGUCAGUCAGUUAGUUAAGGGCUUGAAGCCUGGAUCUCUUGUAUUUCCUUGGAAUUUUUUUGUGGAGAUACACUCAGUCAAUAUAUAAAAAAUUUGUCUUUCUUCCUAUUCUGAAUUUUGAUCCAGUAUCUAUCAUACUGUGCAAAACGGUUUAUAAGAAUUUUUUUUUAACCAACAAUUACUCCCAAAAAAAUUGACUAGAAUGCCGUGAGUUAUCUGAAUUCCAAUAGAACUCUAAAGGAGCACUAGCGUUCAUUGGUGUAGCGGCACUGUUCAUGACAAUUUCUGGGCUGAUAUCAUCUUCCAUCUCCGAGCUCACUAUGUUACGCUAUUUUCCCAACUUUUUGGUGCAGGGAGUAGGAUCUGUACAGCAAGUGAAGCGUGAGCUGCUGCUGGGCCACAAGAUCAAGACUGCACUUGCUGUGAAGAGCUGGCUGACCUUUUCUGGACUGGUGAUGCGGCUGGAGCAAGCUGAAGGGGCAGGCCAAGUCAAUUUGGGCCAUGUGAGGAGCUGACUUACACUUAGAAGGCUAAACCUGAAUUAGUCUCGUAAAUUAGCAUUAGGCUGGAUUCAUUUUCUUUUCCCAUUUAAGAGCAGCUUAGCUGUGUAGGGAGUACAACACCGCUAGACCCAUGUUACUGACACUUUUACUUUUUUAGCAAAUUUGUGGAGAUUUCCAUCUUGUAAGGUAGAGUGCAGCCUCCAACCCUUGUGAGUGCAGAGUAACCUCAAGGGAAAGGAGUGUAAUCUGCUGUACGGUCUAGGUUUUGCGGUUUUGCUCCAAUCCUUGUGAGUGCAAAGGGAAAGGAGUAUAACCCACUGUACUUUAUUCUGAAAUCAAUACAAGUUUGCUAUCUUUUCUUCAUUCCAA